rnacentral:SRP_RNA from 1 species
GCCAGGCACGGUGGUGCAUUACCUGUAGUCCCAGCUACUCUGGAGGCUGAGACUGGAGGAUCUCUUGAGUCCAGGAGUUCUGGGCUGUAGUGCACUAUGCCAAUUGGGUGUCCGCACUAAGUUUGGCAUCAAUAUGGUGACCUCCCAGGAGCGGGGGACCACCAGGUUGCCUAAGGAGGGACGAACCGACCCAGGUUGGAAACGGAGCAGGUCAAAACUCCUGUGCUGAUCAGUAGUGGGUUUGCGCCUGUAAAUAGCCGCUGUACUCCAGCCUGGGCAACAUAGUGAGACCCCGUCUCU